CAGUCACACUGGACCAAGUUAUGGGAAUCUGUCAUGUGAUGAAAGCAGACAAUAGUAAUUUAUUGGUUUAGUCAUAAUCCUUUCAGUAGUCCAGAUUGCUGUUGCAAAUUUGUUAAAAAUCUGCUACCAUUCACUGAGCAACAGUACAGCACCUGCAGCAAUAACAUGGGUGGGGAAUGUAAGCACCCUGUGUGCAUGUGUGGCAUGAGUUAGACAAGGCCACAGCAAAGCAGCUGAGAACUGUAUUGCACAAACCAGAGGGAGAUGCCUGUCCUCCCACAGUGUGCAUGUAAUUUAAUCUCCAAAUUGAGAUUCAGUUUAACUUUCCAAACACUAAAAAUGUACAAACAAGCAUUCUUUACUCAGCAGUUACUUCUUACGUUCUGCAGAGCUUCUGCACAAGGACACCAGCACCAAGCAGCCACACACCCACGUGGAAUGUAUAUACAUGAGUAAGCACUGUUUCUUCUUUAAUUUUUCUUUGUGCACUUGGCAACACACAGCUCACUGCUCAGUUAGCCAGUUGGCCUAUGUUUUACAUGGCAACUUCAAGAAUAAAUAUUAGUAUUUUUUAAUCAUCUCAUUUGGCAGAGGACCCAAGGAGCAGCUGCUGUAUGUACAGCUACCUUUAAUUCACAUUCUGAAAUAUGCUGCAUCUGACUGUCCUCUUUCAAAAAUGCCCUAGGAGGUACAGCCCUGCUGCAAUCUGACUUAGGAGUUGGUACAGUCACAUACUCUCAUUGCAAGGGAGAUGGAGUUAUGAUCAAAUUGUAUAAAUUGUUUUUUCAGAGCAACAUUCAGCAGCCAACCAACAUCCCAGAUGCUCCAGGAAAUGCAGCAGAGUAUAAGUGGUUGCAUUAGCAUGCAUUGCCCCCAUUGCAUUUUGGUUAUGUUCUGGUCACUUAAUGUUAGUCAUCAUAUUUUACGAACCUCACCCAUGGAAACUAACAUGCAAGCUGAAAUUUAGGACUCCUGACCUUUAACACAAAAUGACCAUAGGUGUUCCCACAGCUGUUAAAUAAACCUGUGUUUAUGGAGUCAUAAAUGUAGUGCAGGUGAGGUUUUCAGUGAUGUAAUAACAACUUCCAUCGCCGCGCAGUUUGUCAUUUAUACAGCAGCGUACCAUCACUGCACUCAACAGGCCAACAACAAAACCGGCCAACAACUUCUGAUUUACAAGAAAGUGACAAAGACAUGGGACAAGUGAAACUUCACCUGAGCAGCAGCAAAGACCACAGCACUUAGAGCACUGCUCUGUCCUCCCUUCAGGAAUACGCAAGGAAGCUGGGACCAGAUGUGAACUGCAGACAGCAUCCAAACCUUUGCACAGGAGAGCACCCCGAGUGCCGCUGCACCGAACUACCAGGAACUACCAGAGGGUGCAGCAUGUUCCCAGCUCAUCACACCAGCCUUGAUCUGAGACUCUGCUCUUCUCCUGUCAUCAUCAAAAGUCAAUCUCUGUUUCCUUUGUAAAGAUCACUGUACCAGUAACAUAAAUUAUUUCAAGGCAAAGCUUUUGUACUAGUAGUUUCAGCUGCCUUCAUAUGCACACAAACACUGUCUAUGUGUUUGCCUGUAACAUUUUUCCCCACUGUGGCAGCCAGAAGCAUGAUCAGAAUGGGUUUUAUAGGUCGUGUAUAAACAAUUAAAAACUUUUAAAGCAUU